rnacentral:lncRNA from 1 species
GGCGGGGCAAAGAUCUCCCUUUUCAGCUCCUGGAGGUCUCGAGCCGAGACCCCGGUCCGCUACGGUCUUUCCGCAGGAAUGAAACCCUGUGAGAACCUGUCUAUUGUAAUAGAGACUUCUACAAAAGAAGACAAAGGUCACUGAGGUCCACCUUAGACCCCCAAGACUUGAAGGACAUGAUAGACUGUGGGAAAUGGGGAAGCUUUCUCAAUUGAUGUUGCUAAAGUGAAGUGUCUUUCUUCUGGCUCCCUGUCUCUG